rnacentral:rRNA from 1 species
AUUGAACGCUGGCGGCAUGCCUUACACAUGCAAGUCGAACGGCAGCACGGGAGCAAUCCUGGUGGCGAGUGGCGAACGGGUGAGUAAUAUAUCGGAACGUGCCCAGUCGUGGGGGAUAACGUAGCGAAAGCUACGCUAAUACCGCAUACGAUCUAUGGAUGAAAGCGGGGGAUCGCAAGACCUCGCGCGAUUGGAGCGGCCGAUAUCAGAUUAGGUAGUUGGUGGGGUAAAAGCCUACCAAGCCUUCGAUCUGUAGCUGGUCUGAGAGGACGACCAGCCACACUGGAACUGAGACACGGUCCAGACUCCUACGGGAGGCAGCAGUGGGGAAUUUUGGACAAUGGGCGCAAGCCUGAUCCAGCAAUGCCGCGUGCAGGAUGAAGGCCUUCGGUUGUAACGUAGC